rnacentral:rRNA from 1 species
UACGGAGGGUGCAAGCGUUAAUCGGAAUUACUGGGCGUAAAGCGCGCGUAGGCGGUUGGCUAAGUCCGCUGUGAAAGCCCUGGGCUUAACCUGGGAACGGCAGUGGAUACUGGUCGACUCGAGUAUGGUAGAGGGUAGUGGAAUUUCCGGUGUAGCAGUGAAAUGCGUAGAGAUCGGAAGGAACACCAGUGGCGAAGGCGACUAUCUGGACCAAUACUGACGCUGAGGUGCGAAAGCGUGGGGAG